rnacentral:tRNA from 1 species
GGCUGCGCCGCGUGGGCGCGCUCGGUGGAGCCGAGCCGCACGCCCCUGAUCGGAUCGGGGCGCAGCCCC